UCGCGGGCGCAGGAAAUUUGAGAGGAGCUGUCCUUAGUACGAGAGGACCGGGAUGGACACACCGCUGGUGUACCAGUUGUUCCGCCAGGAGCAUCGCUGGGUAGCUAUGUGUGGCAGGGAUAAACGCUGAAAGCAUCUAAGCGUGAAGCCCCCCUCAAGAUGAGAUUUCCCAUUUCUUCGGAAAGUAAGAUCCCUGAAAGAUGAUCAGGUAGAUAGGUUUGGAGUGGAAGUGUAGCGAUACAUGGAGCGGACAAAUACUAAUCGAUCGAGGACUUAACCAAAA
rnacentral:rRNA from 1 species